GGUCAUAACAGAAGUAAGGCGCAAACACGCACCCACUGGAGCACCUUCUUCUCAAGAACUUGCACGCCCCGCACGACGAGCCAGGUCCUGUCAUUUUCUCAAACCCUUUCAGCUAAAGUGUCUCCUUUAUGGCCAACAGUUUCAUUCACAAAUUGGGCAAUGCAGUGCCUUAAAAGAGCCUUUCUUUGGGAUGAUCAGAAUGGAAUGGAAGACCUAAUCAUCAUCUUGGCGCAUGCUGGGCUCUAAAGGUAUCAAGUACGGCUGUUGGCCACUAAAUAAUGGUUGGCGGCUGUUACUAUGUCCCCUUCUCAUCUGCAAACAGGUUCAUGAACACAUCCUUUGAUAUGAGUGAAAGAAAGAGAAAGAGGCUGCAAGUGCUUCUUCUACUGUAUGAAAUAGGAAAAAGUUGGGGGACAAAAUGCCAUUUUAACCAACUUUUACCUCAUUUUUCUCUCAUCUAAUGCGAUUAACAUAGAAACACAUUU